rnacentral:tRNA from 1 species
GCUGGCGUGGCCGAGCGGAACGAGGCGCUGCUCUUCUAAAGCAGUCAACGCGGGUUCGAAUCCUGCCGCCAGCGCCA